CCUACGGGAGGCAGCAGUAGGGAAUAUUGCUCAAUGGGGGAAACCCUGAAGCAGCAACGCCGCGUGGAGGAUGAAGGUUUUCGGAUUGUAAACUCCUUUUGUUAAAGAAGAUAAUUACGGUAUCUAACGAAUAAGCACCGGCUAACUCCGUGCCAGCAGCCGCGGUAAUACGGAGGGUGCAAGCGUUACUCGGAAUUACUGGGCGUAAAGGGCGCGUAGGCGGGAUAGCAAGUCAGAUGUGAAAUCCUAUGGCUUAACCAUAGAACUGCAUUUGAAACUGUUAUUCUAGAGUAUGGGAGAGGUAGGUGGAAUUCGUGGUGUAGGGGUAAAAUCCGUAGAGAUCAAGAGGAAUACUCAUUGCGAAGGCGACCUGCUAGAACAUAACUGACGCUGAUGCGCGAAAGCGUGGGGAGCAAACAGGAUUAGAUACCCCUGUAGUC
rnacentral:rRNA from 1 species